GCAGGUUCAGGGGGGGACGAGCGGCUCUGGCCUGUUGGGCAGCGCUGACUUUUUCAUCGAUCUGGUGGCGGCGAGUUUGAUUUGACAGAAAAUCGCGCAUACCGAACCCUCCUCCAAGGCUCCAAUUGAUAUGUGUUAGACAACCAGAGAAACCAUGUUUCUCCCGUUUAUGUUGGCCUCUCAGUGUGUGUUGUUUUUAUCUAGGAAAAGUGAGAAAAGCAUACACGUCGAUUCAUUACUUCAUCGGCUGCCUCCACCUGUUCUACAGAGUUGGACAAUGAAUUGCAAUACCGGACCCUCAACCAUGCAGCGCCACUGAUUGAGCUUUCCGUGCACUGGACUAUCCAGCUUUUGGUUGAGAGUCGGGGACAUUCAGAGUUAAGUUGCCGUGCUUGCUCUGCACAAGUGCUCUUGCAUUGGCUUGAUCUCAUCAGGUUACUACACAACAACUUAACGCUGUCCUGAUUUCCAGUGGCCUCUAUGCUCUAAGGUGACAUAUGUGCAAACUAAAGAAUAGUUUUAGCCUUUUAGGGAAUCGACCUCUCAAUAUGAAGCCCCAGCGACAAAGUAUGUCUGGUCAGGUCAGGUAUCUAAUCAAUUAGUCAAGUAGAGUAGAAAAAAUUCACAAGAGCAUUAAGCCCUGUGUUUAAUUUAACAUAAGCUUUUUAGUUGAACUAGAUGCCUAGGCUAAUCAUAUUUACGCACCACAUGACCACAUAUUCUUAUGGCAAUGCUACACCUGAAGCACAUACCGGCCGGUAUGCAAGAAAAUAUUGCAAUGCUCUCAGCUCAUGUUUUCUUGGGUGAAAUUAGAUUCUAGCACUGGGAGAUCAAACGGUAUUUUCUCAACCAAGAACCUUCAGGUUAUUCUGUAUAAUCUUUAUAGAUAACAAACUUUAUUGCUUAUUGCAGUAAUGUUCUUAUUAGAAAAAUGACAUACCCUUAGAUUUAUAAUCGGUAAUUCUGUAUUAAUGUGAUCCAUUACGCUAAACAACGAAGGACUUCUGCUACUGUAUCGAUUUAUGUUCAACACUAGGGAGCCCAUCUGAAUAUAUACAUAAUAUUAUGGCUAUCAAUUUGUUCAUGGGAAAAAUUAUGGCUGAGAGACCUUCUGUAUAUUAGGUCAAGAUACUAACCUGCCACUAUCCUAAAAGGGAAAAUAUAAUACUAAAAUGACCUUGAGGCUCCCUGGAUGUUCCCUGAGUGUUGUUUGAUCCACGUCCUCUUCUUGCGGUGUGUUGCUCUGAGGUUUAAUUUUACCGAGGAUUUCUUACUUUUAACCUUUUCUUAUCAGGUAAACGAAUACAAACAAUUACUAGGGUUAGACGCUAAGUGAAAUAAUGGAUCUUCCUACCUCUUGAACACAAAAUAUACUUUUCUCUGCCUCAUAUUGUAGUACACAACAAGCAUCAGUCAUGACUCAUGAAGUUGGAUCAAGAGUUCACAAGGGACACAACUAUUUGUAGAACCAUUGGAAUAAUCAUUACAGGUUCCUUUUAGUUUUCACCCUUGCAAAUCAUCCAUUUAUUCUUAGAAAAGAACAAUAAUCAUAUCAUUCUUCUAAACUGUAUAGUGGGUUAGCUGUGGCUCCUCUGAGCUUAUUUUCCAUUCUCUCUGCACUGGCUUUUGGUCCCCGUUGUGUUUGCUGGUCGUGUGUGUUGCAGCUGGCGUUUCAUUUACAGUAGCAACUGCAACUGAUCGUUGUCCGAAACGGCAUUGGUUGGAAUCCAUGGAGACUUGCGACUGCCAUGUAUGAAGCGGACUUGGGCUGGUCAGCAAUGCUGCUGCCGAUUGCUUAUUUCUGGUCUACCAAUGCAUUUAAAAAUAAUAUUGCUGGGGCAUCGAUAUAGUCUUUGCAUUAAUCAUUAUGGUCUCGACUGUGCAUUUCAGUUGUUCUGGAAAAGGUCAGUGUUGCUGUGUGUGCGUGUCUGGGUUCUUCCUUUGAUUUGCUUGUACUGCAGACGCUCACGGUGAACAGUUAUGACUGCAAUAAUUUGUGUUUGCUUGAUUGGAUUUCACUUUUUACUUGAAUGCAGAUAUACAAUGGUUGUGUACUUGGUGAUGUGUAGCAAUGCCCGACGGAAAAUAUUAAACAUACAAAUUCAAGAAGCACAUCUGAGAAGGUAGAUAUGGCCGGGAAGAUUUCGUCUUGACGCUUCUACUGAUGAAGGUCUUGCCUCAGCGGGUGACGUUCUGGAGUCAUUCAUUGAGGGUGGUGAUUUACUUCUUGGUGGCGGCCACUCCUACCAUUUUGGCCGGGGUUUGCUGUUUCCUAAUGGCCGGGGUGACUGGGUGGGGCUGGAUCGCCGGUUGGUGCUGUUGUGUUUCAGAGUGGCUAUGUGGCUUCAGAGCUGAAGAGUCUAGGUAUGUGGGACGUUUUAUGAAUUAGUUUGAUCAAGUGGAGACAAGGGUGGCAAAACGACCUCUAUGUAAUGGCACACACAAAAAAAGUUAUGUAUAUCUAAACAGGUGGAUAAUUUGAUGAGAAAAUUACAAGCUUCAGUGUGGACUAUGGGCGAAACUGUCAAUUGUGAAGCCCACGAUUCCUUCAAAUAUUCACAGUUCUGGUGACUUUUGAUUAUUGUACAACUGGAGGUUUCCUAUAACUUUCCCUAUCCGCUGCCAUUACAGAGAUUAAGUAACUUUGUUUUGCCAAAUACAGUUGAGUGGUGAACUGAUAUUUCGUAUUUGUUUGCACGUGAGUUUCUGAGAUUGUUCAUAGACUCUAAUUGGUAAUUGAAAUUUUAGUCAUUGUUUGAAUUUUGGUCAGAAUAUUUUUUUUGUGAGAACAGAAAUGUGAGUAAUCUUAGGAUGUUAGUGAUACUCAUCUUAUUGAUUAGCAGGCCAUACAAAUUUUCUAUGCCCGCUUCUCACUGAUCAGAUCUGAAACAGUGUAACCCAACCUUGCAUCCAAGUAUCCAACCAUGGUGUCUAAUACACCACAACGAUGACAGCAAAAGAAUGCAUUCUACCCUGUUAUGGGCAAAAUCUGAGACCGUCCAUCCUUUCAUCACAUAUGUAAGGUAUGUGAGAAAUCUGAAACCGUCCAUACUUUCAUCACAUAUGUAGAGGCGUGUGAGAAUGUGAGGCAGGCCGCGCGGCGAAGCGCGCCCGGCCAUCUAGUAAGAAUUUAAUUACCAUUGCAUGACUACCAAGUGCAAAAUAUUAGUGAUGGUACUUAUAAUCAGUAUAUUUAUUUUGUAAUUUUAGCUUGAAAUAAUUUUGCAUUGUUCAGGUUUCAUUCCUAUUCAAACUCAUUGCAUUUUUACUAUGCAAUGGCUUAUUUCAUUU